GGGAUACCACUUGGAAACAGGUGCUAAUACCGGAUAACAACAAUAGCUGCAUGGCUAUUGCUUAAAAGGCGGCGAAAGCUGUCGCUAAAGGAUGGACCCGCGGUGCAUUAGCUAGUUGGUAAGGUAAUGGCUUACCAAGGCGACGAUGCAUAGCCGAGUUGAGAGACUGAUCGGCCACAUUGGGACUGAGACACGGCCCAAACUCCUACGGGAGGCAGCAGUAGGGAAUCUUCCACAAUGGGCGAAAGCCUGAUGGAGCAACGCCGCGUGAGUGAAGAAGGUUUUCGGAUCGUAAAGCUCUGUUGUUGGUGAAGAAGGAUAGAGGUAGUAACUGGCCCCUAUUUGACGGUAAUCAACCAGAAAGUCACGGCUAACUACGUGCCAGCAGCCGCGGUAAUACGUAGGUGGCAAGCGUCGUCCGGAUUUAUUGGGCGUAAAGCGAGCGCAGGCGGAAAGAUAAGUCUGAUGUGAAAGCCCCCGGCUUAACCGAGGAAUUGCAUCGGAAACUGUGUUUCUUGAGUGCAGAAGAGGAGAGUGGAACUCCAUGUGUAGCGGUGGAAUGCGUAGAUAUAUGGAAGAACACCAGUGGCGAAGGCGGCUCUCUGGUCUGUAACUGACGCUGAGGCUCGAAAGCAUGGGUAGCGAACAGGAUUAGAUACCCUGGUAGUCCAUGCCGUAAACGAUGAGUGAUAGGUGUUGGGA
rnacentral:rRNA from 1 species